rnacentral:rRNA from 1 species
GAUGAACGCUAGCGACAGGCCUAACACAUGCAAGUCGAGGGGCAGCACAAGGAGCAAUCUGAGGUGGCGACCGGCGCACGGGUGAGUAACACGUAUGCAACCUACCUGUAAGAGGGGGAUAACCCGUUGAAAGACGGACUAAUACCGCAUAAUACUGAAUAACCGCAUGGUUAAUCAGUUAAACAUUUAUGGCUUACAGAUGGGCAUGCGCAUGAUUAGCUAGUUGGUGAGGUAACGGCUCACCAAGGCAACGAUCAUUAGGGGUUCUGAGAGGAAGGUCCCCCCACACUGGUACUGAGACACGGACCAGACUCCUACGGGAGGCAGCAGUGAGGAAUAUUGGUCAAUGGGCGAGAGCCUGAACCAGCCAAGUCGCGUGAAGGAUGAAGGUUUUAUGAAUUGUAAACUUCUUUUGCAGGGGAAUAAAGUGCGGUACGUGUACCGUUUUGUAUGUACUCUGCGAAUAAGGAUCGGCUAACUCCGUGCCAGCAGCCG